CGGGAAUUUUGGGCAAUGGGCGAAAGCCUGACCCAGCAACGCCGCGUGAGGGAUGAAGUAUUUCGGUAUGUAAACCUCGAAAGAAUGGGAAGAAUAAAUGACGGUACCAUUUAUAAGCUCCGGCUAACUACGUGCCAGCAGCCGCGGUAAUACGUAGGGAGCAAGCGUUGUUCGGAUUUACUGGGCGUAAAGGGCGCGUAGGCGGCGCGGUAAGUCACUUGUGAAAUCUCCGGGCUUAACCCGGAAACUGCCGUUGAUACUAUUUGUCUUGAAUAUUGUGGAGGUAAGCGGAAUAUGUCAUGUAGCGGUGAAAUGCUUAGAUAUGACAUAGAACACCAAUUGCGAAGGCAGCUUACUACACAAUCAUUGACGCUGAGGCACGAAAGCGUGGGGAUCAAACA
rnacentral:rRNA from 1 species